rfam:Gossypium arboreum cultivar AKA8401 contig_14772_1, whole genome shotgun sequence.
AGCCCAUGGUGAGGGCACCUUCUCAAGAGGUCCUUGUAUCUCUCCCAUGCAUAAUAGAGUGUUUCUCGAUCCAUCUGUACAAAAGAAGAGAUAUCAUUCCUUAAUUU